rnacentral:tRNA from 1 species
GGCCCCAUAGCGUAGCGGUUAGCACACUGGACUUUGAAUACAGUAACGCGAGUUCGACUCACGCCGGGACCU